rnacentral:rRNA from 1 species
UACGUAGGGCGCAAGCGUUAUCCGGAAUUAUUGGGCGUAAAGAGCUCGUAGGCGGUUUGUCGCGUCUGCUGUGAAAACCUAAGGCUCAACCUUGGGCUUGCAGUGGGUACGGGCAGACUAGAGCGCGGUAGGGGUGACUGGAAUUCCUGGUGUAGCGGUGGAAUGCGCAGAUAUCAGGAGGAACACCGAUGGCGAAGGCAGGUCACUGGGCCGCAACUGACGCUGAGGAGCGAAAGCAUGGGGAGCGAACAGG